GGGGGAAUCGGCCCCUUCGGUGUCGUAGCUAACGCGUUAAGUGUUCCGCCUGGGGAGUACGCACGCAAGUGUGAAACUCAAAGGAAUUGACGGGGGCCCGCACAAGCGGUGGAGUAUGUGGUUUAAUUCGAUGCAACGCGAAGAACCUUACCAGGGUUUGACAUCCUGCGAACCUCUUAGAAAUUUGAGGGUGCCUUCGGGAAUGCAGUGACAGGUGGUGCAUGGCUGUCGUCAGCUCGUGUCGUGAGAUGUUGGGUUAAGUCCCGCAACGAGCGCAACCCACGUUUUUAGUUGCCAGCAUUUAGUUGGGCACUCUAGAAAGACCGCCGGUGAUAAACCGGAGGAAGGUGUGGAUGACGUCAAGUCAUCAUGCCCCUUACACCCUGGGCUACACACGUACUACAAUGCUACGGACAAAGGGCAGCAAACUCGCGAGAGCUAGCAAAUCCCAUAAACCGUGGCUCAGUUCAGAUCGUAGGCUGCAACUCGCCUACGUGAAGUAGGAAUCGCUAGUAAUCGCAGGUCAGCAUACUGCGGUGAAUACGUUCCCGGGCCUUGUACACACCGCCCGUCACACCAUGGAAGUUGGCCAUGCCCGAAGUCGUUACUCCAACCCUUGUGGAGGAGGACGCCGAAGGUGGGGCUAAUGACUGGGGUGAAGUCGUAACAAGGUAGCCGUACCGGAA
rnacentral:rRNA from 1 species